GGGGCGGGUCGGAAAUGACGACACCGAGCGCGCCAUUAAAACCCGUAGGCGGGGCUUUGGUGCUCUCUCGACUUUAACGCCAUCUUCUUAGGAACCUCUGCGCCAUGAGAGCCAAGUGGAGGAAGAAGCGAAUGCGCAGGCUGAAGCGUAAAAGAAGAAAGAUGAGACAGAGGUCCAAGUAAAAUAGUUCGUACACCCAUGGAGGCCAAAAGAACA